AACAGAUUUACUUCGGUAAUGACGUUAGGAAAGCGAGCGGCGGAUGGGUGAGUAACACGUGGGGAACCUGCCCCAUAGUCCGGGAUACCACUUGGAAACAGGUGCUAAUACCGGAUAAGAAAGCAGAUCGCAUGAUCAGCUUUUAAAAGGCGGCGUAAGCUGUCGCUAUGGGAUGGCCCCGCGGUGCAUUAGCUAGUUGGUAAGGUAAAGGCUUACCAAGGCGAUGAUGCAUAGCCGAGUUGAGAGACUGAUCGGCCACAUUGGGACUGAGACACGGCCCAAACUCCUACGGGAGGCAGCAGUAGGGAAUCUUCCACAAUGGACGCAAGUCUGAUGGAGCAACGCCGCGUGAGUGAAGAAGGUUUUCGGAUCGUAAAGCUCUGUUGUUGGUGAA
rnacentral:rRNA from 1 species